rnacentral:rRNA from 2 species
AGCAGCCGCGGUAAUUCCAGCUCCAAUAGCGUAUAUUAAAGUUGUUGCAGUUAAAAAGCUCGUAGUUGAACUUCGGGGUCUACCCAUUGGUCAGGCUUAAUUGUCUGCACUGGUGAGAUGGAUCUCUACCUUCUGAGGAACUUUCAUGCCAUUUAUUUGGUGUGGUUGGAAAUCAGGACUGUUACUUUGAAAAAAUUAGAGUGUUUAAAGCAGACUAUCGUCUGAAUACAUUAGCAUGGAAUAAUGAAAUAGGACGGACUGAUUCUAUUUCGUUGGUUUCUAGGAUCACCGUAAUGAUUAAUAGGGAUAGUUGGGGGCAUUAGUAUUCAAUUGUCAGAGGUGAAAUUCUUGGAUUUAUUGAAGACUAACUACUGCGAAAGCAUUUGCCAAGGAUGUUUUCAUUAAUCAAGAACGAAAGUUAGGGGAUCGAAGACGAUCAGAUACCGUCGU